GUCCCCAUCGUCUAGUCAGGUCCAGGACAUCGGCCUUUCACGCCGACAACACCGGUUCGAAUCCGGUUGGGGACGCCA
rnacentral:tRNA from 5 species